rnacentral:rRNA from 1 species
AGAGUUUGAUCAUGGCUCAGGACGAACGCAGGCGGCGUGCUUAACACAUGCAAGUCGAACGGUAAGGCCCUUCGGGGUACACGAGUGGCGAACGGGUGAGUAACACGUGGGUGAUCUGCCCUGCACUUCGGGAUAAGCUUGGGAAACUGGGUCUAAUACCGGAUAGGACCACGGUCUGCAUGGAUUGUGGUGGAAAGCUUUUGCGGUGUGGGAUGGGCCCGCGGCCUAUCAGCUUGUUGGUGGGGUGAUGGCCUACCAAGGCGACGACGGGUAGCCGGCCUGAGAGGGUGUCCGGCCACACUGGGACUGAGAUACGGCCCAGACUCCUACGGGAGGCAGCAGUGGGGAAUAUUGCACAAUGGGCGCAAGCCUGAUGCAGCGACGCCGCGUGGGGGAUGACGGCCUUCGGGUUGUAAACCUCUUUCAGUAGGGACGAAGCGUAAGUGACGGUACCUAUAGAAGAAGCACCGGCCAACUACGUG